GACGAAUUGUUAAUGCACCAUUUUAAAUUUCAAAUUGUGGCAGCCUUCGGGAUUACUUUUGGCAUCGUACCCCUUUCCAAAUCUAAAAUUUUUGGUAACGACGGCAAAAUUUUGUUUCUCAAAUUUAAGGUGGAUUCAAAAAUAAAUUUUUUAUCAAAUAACUAACUGGCAGAAUGAUAUUGGUGCCUUGUGAAAUAAACAUCAAAAGACCACUGA
rnacentral:sRNA from 1 species